GACGAACGCUGGCGGCGUGCUUAACACAUGCAAGUCGAACGGAAAGGCCCUGCUUUUGUGGGGUGCUCGAGUGGCGAACGGGUGAGUAACACGUGAGUAACCUGCCCUUGACUUUGGGAUAACUUCAGGAAACUGGGGCUAAUACCGGAUAGGAGCUCCUGCUGCAUGGUGGGGGUUGGAAAGUUUCGGCGGUUGGGGAUGGACUCGCGGCUUAUCAGCUUGUUUGUGGGGUAGUGGCGUACCAAGGCUUUGACGGGUAGCCGGCCUGGGAGGGUGACCGGCCACAUUGGGACUGAGGUACGGCCCAGAAUGCUACGGGAGGCAGCAGGGGGGAAUAUGGCACAAUGGGCGGGAGCCUGAUGCAGCAACGCCGGGUGCGGGAAGACGGCCUUCGGGGUGUGAACCGCUUUCGCCUGUGACGAAGCGGGAGUGACGGUAAUGGGUAAAGAAGCACCGGCUAACUACGUG
rnacentral:rRNA from 1 species